GACGAAGGAUGCAAGCGUUAUCCGGAUUCAUUGGGUUUAAAGGGAGCGUAGGCGGCCAGAUAAGUCAGUGGUGAAAUCCUGUUGCUUAACAACAGAACUGCCAUUGAUACUGUUUGGCUUGAGUACAGUUGCUGUGGGCGGAAUAUGACAUGUAGUGGUGAAAUACAUAGAGAUGUCAUAGAACACCGAUUGCGAAGGCAGCUCACAAAGCUGUAACUGACGCUGAGGCUCGAAAGUGUGGGGAUCAAACAGG
rnacentral:rRNA from 1 species